UGGAAACGACUGCUAAGACUGGAUAGGAGACAAGAAGGCAUCUUCUUGUUUUUAAAAGACCUAGCAAUAGGUAUGCUUAGGUAGGAGCUUGCGUCACAUUAGUUAGUUGGUGGGGUAAAGGCCUACCAAGACUAUGAUGUGUAGCCGGGCUGAGAGGUUGAACGGCCACAUUGGGACUGAGACACGGCCCAAACUCCUACGGGAGGCAGCAGUAGGGAAUUUUCGGCAAUGGAGGAAACUCUGACCGAGCAACGCCGCGUGAACGAUGAAGUAUUUCGGUACGUAAAGUUCUUUUAUUAGGGAAGAAUAAAUGAUGGAAAAAUCAUUCUGACGGUACCUAAUGAAUAAGCCCCGGCUAACUAUGUGCCAGCAGCCGCGGUAAUACAUAGGGGGCAAGCGUUAUCCGGAAUUAUUGGGCGUAAAGGGUGCGUAGGCGGUUAAAUAAGUUUAUGGUCUAAGUGCAAUGCUCAACAUUGUGAUGCUAUAAAAACUGUUUAGCUAGAGUAAGAUAGAGGCAAGUGGAAUUCCAUGUGUAGUGGUAAAAUGCGUAAAUAUAUGGAGGAACACCAGUAGCGAAGGCGGCUUGCUGGGUCUUUACUGACGCUGAGGCACGAAAGCGUGGGGAGCAAACAGGAUUAGAUACCCUGGUAGUCCACGCCGUAAACGAUGAGUACUAAACGUUGGUUAAAACCAGUGUUGAAGUUAACACAUUAAGUACUCCGCCUGAGUAGUACGUACGCAAGUAUGAAACUUAAAGGAAUUGACGGGACUCCGCACAAGCGGUGGAUCAUGUUGUUUAAUUCGAAAGGUACCCGAAAAACCUCACCAGGUCUUGACAUGCUUCUGCAAAGCUGUAGAAACACAGUGGAGGUUAUCAGUUGCACAGGUGGUGCAUGGUUGUCGUCAGCUCGUGUCGUGAGAUGUUGGGUUAAGUCCCGCAACGAGCGCAACCCUUAUUGUUAGUUACCAGCACGUAAUGGUGGGGACUUUAGCAAGACUGCCAGUGAUAAAUUGGAGGAAGGUGGGGACGACGUCAAAUCAUCAUGCCCCUUAUGACCUGGGCUACAAACGUGAUACAAUGGCUGUUACAAAGGGUAGCUGAAGCGCAAGUUUUUGGCGAAUCUCAAAAAAACAGUCUCAGUUCGGAUUGAAGUCUGCAACUCGACUUCAUGAAGUUGGAAUCGCUAGUAAUCGCGAAUCAGCAUGUCGCGGUGAAUACGUUCUCGGGGUUUGUACACACCGCCCGUCAAAC
rnacentral:rRNA from 1 species